CGGUGUGUGUGUUUGCUUGGAAAGUAUCUAUGAUGAAACGAAUGCGGGCUGUGUGCCUUUCGUGCCCUUCCAAGCGGGCUCUCUGCCUUUCGUGCCCUUCCAAGCGGGCUCUCUGCCUUUUGUGCCCUUCCAAGCGGGCUCUCUGCCUUUCGU